UACGUAGGGGGCAAGCGUUGUCCGGAAUUAUUGGGCGUAAAGAGCGUGUAGGCGGUCCGGUAAGUCGGUUGUGAAAGUCCAGGGCUCAACCCUGGGAUGCCGAUCGAUACUGCCGGACUAGAGUCCGGAAGAGGCGAGUGGAAUUCCCGGUGUAGCGGUGAAAGGCGCAGAUAUCGGGAGGAACACCAAUGGCGAAGGCAGCUCGCUGGGACGGUACUGACGCUGAGACGCGAAAGCGUGGGGAGCAAACAGG
rnacentral:rRNA from 1 species